CAACAGUAGGAAUGCACUCCUACUGUAUCGUUUAUCCCAAAUAUAAGAGUGGUGGGUAUUCUCCGGGAAAGAUAUUGGUGGAUACAACUUAUGACUAUGUGAAUGACUGCCUGUAAGAGGUGAUGAAACUGACUGCCAUUCAAAAUAAGUACAGAACUGGUGAUGUGUGUGUUGACCUGCAAUUUCUGACAGCAGCACUGAACAGGCCGGACAAGUCAGCUGUUAUUGCCGAGCACCAGACUAGAUUCCUCAAGAAAUUAAUCACAGUUCUGGAACAUUUCUCUGUGAAACACGAAACCCUUUGAAUACAGCUGACUCCUCUUCUCCUAGUGGUGGAAAAUGUGUCCUGAUACAAGACAUGGCGCAUGCUGGGAGCAUAUCACGGUUGUCCUCACCAAGAAACUUCCAGCACCAGCGCAUCCUAUGGCCCAUCAAAUGCCUUGCCUUUGUACUGCUGCUUGUAGGUCAUCCAUGCCACCUGUAAUCCAUGUGGGUCUAGGCCAGGGGUGGGCAAACCUUUUGGCUCGGGGGCCACAUUAAUUUCUAAAAUUUAACAGGUGGGCCGGGUCAGCACAAGAUACAGUACAUAUUAAAAAACUGCAUAUGUUGAAAGUCCAUACCAAACAUCAACAGAUCAAAAGCAAAACAUAUUUUUUUAAUGAGAACAGUGACACAACUAUGGUAUAUAGUAGGGUUGGGCAAUUAUUUUCCUGGGGGGGCCAAAUGAGAAGCAGAAAAUAUUGUGGAGGGCUGGGCCAAAAGUUAGAAAUAGAAAAUAAAGAAGAUAGCACAAUGUCUUUGUACGCCAGUAAUAAUGUAACAUUCUCCUCCACCAUCACACUCAGCACCGGUUCUCCUCAAGGAUGUGUACUGAGCCCCCUGUUGUUCACGCUCUACACAUUUGACUGCUCUCCAACUCUUAUUAGUGGUCCAGUUUGCGGAAAGUUUUUAAGAUGAUAACAAUCAAACCAUUCUAGGAAAUGUUAAUUUACUCGAGCCACAAGCAAUUCACUCUGAGCAUUGACAUUGCCAGAAUCGGACUGAGUAAGAAUCGCUUCCUUGUUUUUCUAAGUCUUGUAGAUUUGAGUCUUUCCAGGGGUCUCCUGAAUGUUUCGUACUUUGUACCCGCUUCGUUUAAU